CAAUUGUUACCACUUUUAUCACACUGGGGAGGGCCUUUUGAGUCUUGUAAGUUUUAUGAACUUUGUGAAGCUUGUAGUUUCAUUUACUUCAGAGUCUUCUAAGCCUUGCUCCUUCUUCCAGGAGGGAAUGUUUCCACUCAGAGGAAAUGGCUAUGUGGCAGUUUGAAUGUAAUUGGCCUCCAUAAUCUCAUAGGCAGUGACACUAUUAGGAGGUGUGGCUUUCUUAAAGUGGGUAUGGCCUUGUUGGAGGAAGUGUGCCACUGUGUGGGCAGACUUUCCUAUGAUCAGAAUAUUGCCCAUUGUCUCAGCUGACUUCAUGCUGCCUUCUGAUCAAGAUGUAGACUCCCAGCUCCAGCACCACAUCUGCCUGUAUGCUGCCAUGUUCCCCACCGUGAUGAUAAUUGUCUGAACCUGUGAAACUGAGGAAAGAUGGAGAAGAAGAAGAAGAAGAAGAAGAAGAAGAAGAAGAAGAAGAAGAAGAAGAAGAAGAAGAAGAAGAAGAAGAAGAAGAAGAAGAAGAAAGACCUUGAUCUUGGACGUCAACCCCUAUAGCUGGGAUAAUAAAUUCUGGUAGUUUAAGGCACCCAGUCUAGGAUAUUUGGCUAUGUAAACCCUAGCAAAGUGAUUCACUGGCUUAUCUUUGACCUUUGUGAUGUAUAACGAGGCAUGAUUCACUUCA